GAUUCCCCUAGUAACUGCGAGUGAAGCGGGAAAAGCUCAAAUUUAAAAUCUGGCGGUCUUUGGCCGUCCGAGUUGUAGUCUGGAGAAGCGUCUUCCGCGUUGGACCGUGUACAAGUCUCUUGGAACAGAGCGUCAUAGAGGGUGAGAAUCCCGUCUUUGACACGGACUACCAAUGCUUUGUGAUGCGCUCUCAAAGAGUCGCGUUGUUUGGGAAUGCAGCGCAAAAUGGGAGGUGAAUUCCUUCUAAAGCUAAAUAUUGGCGAGAGACCGAUAGCGAACAAGUACCGUGAGGGAAAGAUGAAAAGCACUUUGGAAAGAGAGUUAAACAGUACGUGAAAUUGCUAAAAGGGAAACGCUUGAAGUCAGUCGCGUCGUCCGGAACUCAGCCUUGCUUCGGCUUGGUGCUUUUUCCGGUUGACGGGCCAGCAUCGAUUUUGCCCGCUGGAAAAGGGCUGGAGGAAUGUGGCACCUUCGGGUGUGUUAUAGCCUUCAGUCGCAUACAGCGGUUGGGAUCGAGGAACGCAGCNCGCCUUAUGGCUGGGGUUCGCCCACAUUCGUGCUAGGAUGC
rnacentral:rRNA from 1 species